CUGUAUACCUUCCUCGUUUUCGUCGCUGUUUUUGUCAGAACUCAAAGCUCGUUUCAGUUAAACGUAGUCUUAUAAUGGCUAGUGCAGCACAUAUUUGUAGUAUUUGUGAUCUUCGUCAUGUGACCAAACCAACCGUAUCCUGGUGCUCAGAGUGUGACGAAGGGUUUUGUUCUGGUUGUAUAGAACACCACAGCUUAGCGAAGGCAACCAGACAUCACAAGACGAUGCCAAUAACUGAAUAUCAGAAACUACCUCUACAUGUUCUGCAGAUCCCUCAGUCGUGUACCAAGCAUGAUGAAAAGUUCCUUUUCUACUGUAAAGAUCAUGAAUUACCGUGUUGUGGCAAAUGUGCCAUGGAAGGCCAUAAAGGGUGCAGCGAAGUAAUCAAUCUUGACGACAUCGUCAAGAACGUAAAGACCUCGACCUCUUUUGAAGAAAUUGAGGAAACGCUUGCUGAAGUUGUAGAUAAUAUUAAAGAAAUACAAAAGGUAUACAAGGGAAAUAUAACUACACUAUCAGAAAACAGAAAACAGAUUGAAAAACAAAUUCAGAACAUUCGUUUUAAGAUCAAUACCCAUCUCAAUCAAAUACAGCAGAAGUUGGUAGAUAAACUGCAAGAAGUAGAGGAAACCGAAAGUAAAAAAGUUUUCCAGCUGUCGAAAGCAUUAGAAGAAAAAGAAGAUAAAUUAAAAAAUUACCAAAAUACAAUUGUCAAUAUCAAGCACAAUGCGUCUGAUCUACAAUUAUUUAUGUCAAUCAAACAAAUAGAGCAGGAUUUAGCCAAAGAAGAAGAAUUUACUCUAUCACGCGUUGAUGGAGACAAGGUGAAUAGCAUGACGAUUACUUAGAAAAUUGAUGAAUCAGUUAACACCAUCAUACAAAGCGUACAAAGAUUUGGAGAAAUUAUUUUGGAAACCAAAUUUUCUGAAACAAAACUAAGGAGAAAGAAGAAACAACAAGCCCAGAUGUUUGUACCUAAAUCAGACAACAAAACGAUUGACAAUAUUUCCGCAAAGUUGCAACAGCAAAUACAAACACAAUCUAAAAACGUCAAGGGGUGCUGUAUUUUACCUAAUAGGAGCAUGGCAUUUACUUGCUUUGAUAAAGAGAAAGUCCUGGUUAUUGGGAAUGACGGUGAAAAGAAUUUUGAAUAAAAGGUGGCGUCUGCAAGUGAUCUUACAUACAUAAAAAGUGAUAACAGUAUUGCUGUAUCCUCUUCUAGUAGUAUCUCUGUCAUUGAUAUUCGAGAAAAGAGGAUUAAAAGGAAUAUUCAGCUUCGAUCAGUUGCCUGUGGUCUGGUAAAAAGACACGACAGGGUAAUUUACUGUUCUUCCGAUGGUAUAAAGGAGAUUGACCUUGCUGGUAAAAUUGUAAGUGAUAUAAUAUCUACUAAGCAUUCAAUAUUCCCAUAUAUUGACACCCAUGGGAGCAAUAUUUACUAUACAAACUAUGAUAACGAUUCCGUUACAUGUUGUGACUUUGAAGGUACAGUUAAUUGGAAGUUCACAGACAAAAACAUUCUUCAGCAUCCAUUAGAGAUCUCUGUGGACAACGAAGGUAAUGUGUAUGCUGUUGGUGAAAACUUAGGCAAUGUGGUAGUUAUAUCACCAAAUGGACAAAAAGGUAGAAAGCUUUUCCCAGAUAGUUGUCAUCUACAAAAAACACAAGCCUUACAUUAUGACAGAACAACCAAUUUAUUAUUGGUUGCUGGGAGGUGUGCAGAAGCGUUUUUAUAUAAAAUUGAACGGAAAUGAACAAAAUAACACGAAAAGUUUGGAUUAAAAUGAGAAUUGUUGUCAAUUAUCAAUAUUUGUGAGCAUAGAAGAUUUUAAAAUAAAUAUUCCAAAGUCUGGAUUUGGAAAACAUGGAAAAUGCAACUGACUAGUAAUUGAUGGGUUGUUUUGCUUUACCUCCAGUGGCACAUAUUUCUUGCAUUUUUAGAACAACAAUAAAUAAGCAAUAGGAUAUCGACCAGGAUGAAGGGCUAGAAAUUUGGUUUGAUUAUGGAAAAUGAGGAUAUAAUUGAUAGGGUCAGAAAUUGAGCCUUACAAUAAGCCACCUAUGAGUCCCUAAAAAGUUGUUGAAAGGAUUCGUAUGGGGAAAUGAUACAAAUUCAGGAGAGGUAAUGAUGUCAAGAUCGAUCUAAAAAAGGUAUUAUUCGCGACGUCAAAGUAUGAAAUGUUUAUUUCUACUGAUUGAAGGACAUACAGUAAAAGUUAAAGGGAAGAUAAUGGAGUCGCAAACGUAACUUUCGUUUCCGACAUCCUAUGUUGACUUAUGAAGAAAAGAUGAAAUUUUAACUUAUUUGAAUCAUUCGCUAGAAAACGAGAACAUUUGGACCCUUCUAUUUUAACAUAACAUUUGGCUUGAUUAUGUAUCAGCUAUUGGAACAAAUCACUGAUGAUGUUACUUUAAAAAAUAUAAAUAUACAUAGAAAGGCUGUUUUUUUAAAUCAUGAAAAUUUAAUAAAAAUGAACGUAUCAAAGAAUUGUUAAACAGAGCAUACUUAUGUAAAGAAAAAGAGAGGCGAAAGAUACCAGAGGGACAUUCAAACUCAUAAGACGAAAAAAAAGUGACAUUGCCGUGGCUUAGAAACAAAAAGACAAAUAAACAAUAGCAACUUGUUUUUGUACUGUUAUGAAUCACAGUUUAUGACCAAACUCAGUAAAGACCCGUCUAAAUUGCAUUUAAUUGAUAAAUUCAACAACAUUAUCUUUUAUAUUUUUUCGUUAAAUAAUCAAGCAUUUUCUAAAUAUACUGCCGAAAUUUACCCAAAGGAACUUAUUUUAAAUAAAUCAAAUGUAAACGGUAAUAACUGUCCUUUCCUAGAUUUGGAUAUUUCAGUUUUACACGGGAAACUAAAAUUUACGACAAUAGAGAUGAUUUUUCGUUACCUAUUGUUAAUUUUCCUUUUUUGGAUGGUGAUGUUCCUUUGGCACCAUCUUACAGUGUUUAUAUAUAACAACUCGUUCGCUAUGCCCGAGUCUGCUGUGACGUUUUCGAUUUUAAUAAACGUAAUCUAUGUAUUUUUGGUAAAUUAUUAAGUCAGGAAUUUCGUUACCACAAAUUACUUAAAACCUAAAUUCUUCCAUAGAUAUAAAGAUUUGGUUUUGAAGUUUGGUUGUACAUUUUUGUACCUGUAGAAAACUUAAUUCAAACGGGAUAGCACAUCCUCAUUUUUACGGAGAUGUUGUUUCCAGUGCCCGGAAAUUUAGAAACGAUCCUUUAAAUAAAAUUUUUUUUAAAAGGUUACCAAUUCAACAAUGUAAUUAGAUCUUUUAAUAUUGUUUUUAUUGGUAUUAAUAUUGAUUUUGUUUUCAGUAAAUUAAAAGCAAACUAAAUAUUA